rnacentral:SRP_RNA from 1 species
GCUGGGCAGCGUGGUGCAUGCCUGUAAUCCCAGCUACUUGGGAGGCUGAGGCAGAAGACUUGCUUGAACCCAGGAGGCAGAGGUUGCUGCAGUGAGCUGAGAGCAUGCCACUGCACUCCAGCCUGGGUGACAGAGUAAGACUCUGCCUCAA